UAGGCCUAACACAUGCAAGUCGAACGGGAUGCUUCGGCAUCUAGUGGCGGACGGGUGAGUAACGCGUGAGAAUUUGGCUUCAGGUCGGGGACAACAGUUGGAAACGACUGCUAAUACCGGAUGUGCCGGAAGGUGAAAGAUUUAUUGCCUGAAGAUAAGCUCGCGUCUGAUUAGCUAGUUGGUAGUGUAAUGGACUACCAAGGCGACGAUCAGUAGCUGGUCUGAGAGGAUGAUCAGCCACACUGGGACUGAGACACGGCCCAGACUCCUACGGGAGGCAGCAGUGGGGAAUUUUCCGCAAGGGGCGAAAGCCUGACGGAGCAAUACCGC
rnacentral:rRNA from 1 species